UGGUAGUCAUUUGAGGUCUUG
rnacentral:siRNA from 1 species